ensembl:lncRNA
AUGGCAGUCCCGUUCAGAAUCCCCCAAAAGAAGCAGCCGUCAGGUUCAUGCAGUCUUGACAUGUUGUCUCCUCUGUCUCGACUGCAGGACAGUAACUCAUACAAGAGGCAGUGGGGUUCAGUCACUCUUAAUGGAAGAACGCCUCAUAAAAGCAGUUCUAAUAGAACUAUGCUGUUAAAAGACGGUCAGAGGAGUGAAUCAGAUGCUUUGACAGUUUGGAAACUGUCACUAGAUGGAGCUGUUUGUUCACUUUCGCUGACCGAGGGGAUCUUUCACCAGACUCACACACACACACCUGCUCAGAUAACAUUCCCAAAGGAGCUGCACGUGGAGUAUUCAGUUUUAAAAUGA